rnacentral:tRNA from 1 species
AGGGCUAUAGCUCAGUUGGUAGAGCAACUCGAAGGUCUACGGUUCGAGUCCGUAUAGCCCUA